AAUACGCCGAAACACAAGCUCUAUAGACUCAAAGGGGAAGCUUGCUGCGGCCUCUGCGCGACGGGCCCGGGAUCCGAUUAAACUGCGAAUGGCUCAUUAAAACAGUUAUAGUUUAUUUGAUACAUUAAAUGGAUAACUGUAGAAAAACUAGAGCUAAUACAUGCCAAAGCCUCACGGUUGUAUUUAUUAGAUAUUCCAAUUAGGUGAAUCAUAAUAACUUCGCAAAUCUCGGUUUUGCCGAGAUAAAUCAUCCAAGUUUCUGCCCUAUCAUGCUUUCGAUGGUAGUGUAUUGGACUACCACCGGCCCCCACGGGUAACAGGGAAUUAGGGUUCGAUUCUGGAGAAGGAGCCUGAGAAACGGCUACUACAUCUACGGAAGGCAGCAGGCGCGUAAAUUACCCAAUCCUGACUCAGGGAGGUGGUGACAAGAUAUAACAACGCAAUUUCAUUGUGAUUGUAGUGAGGGUAUUCCAAACCGAACCACUAGUACGAUUAGAGGGCAAGUCUGGUGCCAGCAGCCGCGGUAAUUCCAGCUCUAAUAGCGUAUAUUAAAGUUGCUGCAGUUAAAAGCUCGUAGUUGGAUUUCAGGAUUGUGUACUCUCUCAGAGUAUGCACCCUACUAGUCUUUGACUUGUUCACGGGAAAAAAUUAUAAUGGUUUAAGCACGGGAUUGGCAGAAAACAUAUCAACG
rnacentral:rRNA from 1 species